GACGAACGCUGGCGGCGUGCUUAACACAUGCAAGUCGAACGGAAAGGCCCUGCUUUUGUGGGGUGCUCGAGUGGCGAACGGGUGAGUAACACGUGAGUAACCUGCCCUUGACUUUGGGAUAACUUCAGGAAACUGGGGCUAUUACCGGAUAGGAGCUCUUGCUGCAUGGGGGGGGUUGGAAAGUUUCGGCCGUUGGGGAUGGACUCGCGGCUUAUCAGCUUGUUGGUGGGGUAGUGGCUUACCAAGGCUUCGACGGGUAGCCGGCCUGGGAGGGUGACCGGCCACAUUGGGACUGCGGUACGGCCCAGUCUCCUACGGGAGGCAGCAGUGGAGAGUAUUGCACAAUGGGCGGAAGCCUGAUGCAGAAACGCCGCGUGCGGGAUGACGGCCUUCGGGUUGUAAACCGCUUUCGACUGUGACGAAGCGUGAGUGACGGUAAUGGGUAAAGAAGCACCGGCUAACUACGUG
rnacentral:rRNA from 1 species